rnacentral:rRNA from 1 species
AGCAGCCGCGGUAAUUCCAGCUCCAAUAGCGUAUAUUAAAGUUGUUGCAGUUAAAAAGCUCGUAGUUGAACUUCGGAAUUUAUUCAUUGGUCAGGCUUAACUGUCUGUACUGGUGUUAUGAGUUCCUACCUUCUGAUGAAUCUUCAUGUCAUUAAUUUGGUGUGAGGGGAAUUCAGGACUGUUACUUUGAAAAAAUUAGAGUGUUUAAAGCAGGCUAUCGUCUGAAUACAUUAGCAUGGAAUAAUGAAAUAGGACGGAUUGGUUCUAUUUUGUUGGUUUCUAGGAUCACCGUAAUGAUUAAUAGGGAUAGUUGGGGGCAUUAGUAUUCAAUUGUCAGAGGUGAAAUUCUUGGAUUUAUUGAAGACUAACUACUGCGAAAGCAUUUGCCAAGGAUGUUUUCAUUAAUCAAGAACGAAAGUUAGGGGAUCGAAGACGAUCAGAUACCGUCGUAGUCUUAACCAUAAACUAUGCCGACUAGGGAUCGGACGAAGUUAAUUUUUAAAUGACUCGUUCGGCACCUUACG